UGGGAUGUCGUCUAGUGGCAGGACUGCGGAUUCUGACUCCGCCAACAGAGGUUCGAAUCCUCUCAUCCCAGCCA
rnacentral:tRNA from 1 species